rnacentral:lncRNA from 1 species
GGGAAUUAUGGGGUAUUUUUGCAAAGUUGGGCAAGGUAGGUGAAGUAGUUAUUCCUAAAAAAGGAGAUAAAAAGGGGAAUAGAUUUGGGUUUGUCAGAUUCCUACUGCAGGACCGGGAUGGUAAAUUGGAGAAAUCUUUGACAAAUGUUUGGGUAGGAAAUUUCAAGCUCUUAAUCAACAGGCCAAAGUUCAACAGAAAUGGGGUGCCCUUUGACAAAAA